rnacentral:lncRNA from 1 species
UUACCUAAAAUUUUCAGGACAUUUUCUUGAAUAACUAUUACCUAGCAAUGCCUUACCAAACGAACGUUUACUUUUGAGAAGUUUUUAUGGUAUUUUGAACAGGUUUGAGGUUUUUCAUUCAUGAGAAAUAUGUUGCAUAGUCGACCAAUUCAUUGUUUUGAGUUCAAGUAUGAAUUUAUAAGAAGAUCACGUGAUUGUGUGUAGC